CUUGAAUUGGCGCAACUGUGUGAAAUUGUUUUGCACGCAGAUCUGUACUCGUGGUCGGCGUGCGCUAAUCGAAGAGCAGCGUGAACGCGUGUUGUGAUGACGUCAUGUGACGCGUCUUAACACAGAACUGCGUAAAAUCUGUGGUGUUUUUGAAAAAUUGCUAGGUCUUCUCAUUAGUGUGGAAUUUGCUUGACUUUGCGUUAAUUUCUGUGAUCGCAAAACCCGGGAGGGACUGAUUAAUCACUGCUCUCAACUAAACCUCAUAGCGCACAUGUUUUAUGAAUGCUAGCGAUGUUACAGAUAAUGUAGCAAAUGUUACAGUUUACGUAGUUCAUAACGCAGUUAUUUGAAAGUUACAUUUCUAGAUGCUAUUAAGAGCAAUUAAUGCUGCCGUGCUUACAGUGCAUUAUGGAUAAUACGCACAAGUCAAAUUGUAAACAAAAUAAACCCAACAUGUUACCAUUAAAGGUAACAAUAUAGCUUACAAUUUUACUAAUUCUGGACUUUCUUUGAUUGGUUAACUGAUUGAUUUCCCUCUUUUCUCAGCUUCAUAAUGGCUUGCUUUUCUCCCAUAGACAGCUCUCUGGUCUUCAUGUUGGUUUAUCCUUUUUAACAACAAAUGCGGUCUUCACAGGUGAAACUUAAGGCUCAAACCAAGAGUAGACAUUCAGAGAUAUUAAUUCUUUAAACAGUCAAUUUAACAGGACACACUCGAGCAAGAAACACCUGUCAGUCACGUGUUUCUAUCAUUUUUAAUCGGUUGAAACAAUGGUGGGUUCAAACAAAAGGUGCCAUGUUCUAAGUUUAAGACAUCUAGAUGUAAAUAUGAGGAAAUGAAAGCUGAAAUCGUCUCAUAUUCGUCUUUUGGUCUCAAACCCAAAUGGCUUCAGUGCAUAACAACAACAAAAGAAAAUGGGCCUUGUCGUUCCAAUACUUUUGUAGGGGAUGGUCAUUUCAUUUGUCAUUUUUUUUUUUUUUUUUUUAAAACAGCAUGGGUAGCAUUAAGAUUUUUUGCUAUUUGUACCAUUUCCUAAAAUGGCUGACGUCUUGAGCGUCUUUAAAGCUCUUUACUACUGAAAACGGAUCAGAUUUGUAUGUAAACGUCGCAGGACUGCGGCUAAACAAAUCUCUGACAAACUAAUGAUGCCUGAAGGUUCCACACAUCCAGGAACGCUGUCAUGUUUCUCAGCUUGUCGGUGAUGAACUGACCGUGUUGUAUACAUUAUUUAGAGAUCCUAGGUAACUGAAGAGUCAUUAGUGUCAUCCGGUAAUGGAUGCAGCAUUGAUUGGAUGUUGUGGUUGUGGUUAGUGCCGGUGGCGUUGAGGUUAUAGACUCGUGUCCCUCUGAGAUUCCCACAUCUGCUGGAACGUUUCACUCGGCUGCGGAGUCUUUACAAAGUGCUCGUGGUUAAAGCUCGCUGAGCUCUGAAGAGUACUUCAAGGCUUAAAAAACCGUCGAUGAACUUGACGUGUGC
ensembl:lncRNA